CCUACGGGAGGCAGCAGUGGGGAAUUUUGCGCAAUGGGGGAAACCCUGACGCAGCGACGCCGCGUGGAGGAUGAAGGCCUUCGGGUUGUAAACUCCUGUUAGAGGGGGAGAAGCCCCGCAAGGGGAUGACGGUACCCUCAGAGGAAGCCCCGGCUAACUACGUGCCAGCAGCCGCGGUAAUACGUAGGGGGCAAGCGUUACUCGGAAUUACUGGGCGUAAAGGGUGUGUAGGCGGCCGAGCAAGUCGAAGAUGAAAUCCCAGGGCUCAACCCUGUAAUUGUCUUCGAUACGGCUUGGCUUGAGGGUAGUGGAGGAGAGCGGAAUUCCCGGUGGAGCGGUGAAAUGCGUAGAUAUCGGGAAGAACACCAGAGGCGAAGGCGGCUCUCUAUGCUACUCCUGACGCUGAGGCGCGAAAGCUAGGGGAGCAAACGGGAUUAGAUCCCCCUGUAGU
rnacentral:rRNA from 1 species